UGGCCUUAAAAGAUGACAAAAUGGCCCGGCAACGGGGAAGGUUCACAGGUCUUGAUCGACGCAUCAGAACUGUGACUUUGGUUGUUGGUGGGAGAGAACUGAGGAGGGGGCCAUGGCAGAGGUCGGGAAGCACUGUUGCUGAGAUUGAUGUCGCCUGCAUGGGGCUUCCUGUUGGCAUUGGUAGUAGGCCUGGCAGGGCACAUGCGGACGGGGACAGACCUGCAGUUGCUUCUUGCCUGCAUCGUAGAGCCAGGGUGUAGAUCCUUAGGGAUCGUCCCUAAGGGAGUCCAUCUUGGAGUAAAAUAGCUUAUCCUCAUCAAAGGGGAGGUCAUCGAAUGUAUUUGUAUUGCUUGGAGGCCUACCUUGGUGACCAGGCAUCCCUCAUCCACCAGCACGUGAAACUGCUGCUGUUGGUCUGGUGCAGUGGGUUUUCAAACCGUUUUGUAUUGAUGACUCCUCUCACACAGCAAGACAGUGUGACACCCCCCUGCUUAUAAAUUAAUAAGGUGUGGGGAGAUAAUUUAAUUUAAUGGAGGCUUGGGGUGGUCAGCGACCCCCAUGUAAACACGCUGUGACCCUUUGAGGGGUCACAACCCUCAGUUUGAGAAUCCCUGGUCUGGUGGCAGUUUGUCCCUGAACUCUGGUAGCCCCGUAUAGUUAUUAAAAUCA